rnacentral:rRNA from 1 species
UACGAAAGGGGGCAAGCGUUGUUCGGGAAUUACUGGGCGUAAAGGGCGCGUAGGCGGCUUAUCAAGUCAGGCGUGAAAUUCCCGGGCUCAACCUGGGGGCUGCGCUUGAUACUGAUGAGCUUGAAUGCGGGAGAGGAUAGUGGAAUCCCAGUGUAGAGGUGAAAUUCGUAGAUAUUGGGAAGAACACCGGUGGCGAAGGCGGCUAUCUGGCCCGUAAUUGACGCUGAGGCGCGAAAGCGUGGGGAGCAAACAGG